CAGGCACCGCAGAUCGGGUAGCGACAUCUUGGAGCUCCGUUCGAGAGCUAAUCGGAUUACGGCUUUAUGUCACUUGUUAGAUAGCGUGGAGGGGUGGACAGCCAAUGAGAAUUCAGCUUUUGGCAAACGUUUAGGAGAUACUAGCUCCUCGUAAAUCCUCGGAAUUUAUGUGCGUUUUUACGUUUGGGAUUCGAAAAAUACAAGAAAACAAACUUCGUGUGUGGAGAAGCAUACGGGAUAACAGGAAAAAAUAUACACUUUUCAAAUAUGUUUGUGCAGUUUGGAUUGAUUGCAGGCAAGAAUCUCGCUAUCAUUGCUACUUGCAUACAAAACACAAGAACAUUAACGUUAUAUUUUAAAAUGAUGAGUUUCAGGGCAUGAACAAGUUCCUGUCUGAACUGCAUGAUAAAAAGAAACUGUGUCUUCAUGUCCAAGUCUUCAGCAGCGAUGACAAUGAAUAUUCCGAAAAGGAGUUAGAGUAAAGGAAUGUACCUAAAAUAAUCUAUAUAUAUAAUUCACUAAGGCAAG